rnacentral:rRNA from 1 species
UGGGGAAUAUUGCACAAUGGGCGCAAGCCUGAUGCAGCGACGCCGCGUGAGGGAUGACGGCCUUCGGCUUGUAAACCUCUUUCAGCAGGGAAGAAGCGCAAGUGACGGUACCUGCAGAAGAAGCACCGGCUAACUACGUGCCAGCAGCCGCGGUAAUACGUAGGGUGCGAGCGUUGUCCGGAAUUAUUGGGCGUAAAGAGCUUGUAGGCGGUUUGUCGCGUCUGCCGUGAAAAUCCGGGGCUCAACCCCGGACUUGCGGUGGGUACGGGCAGACUAGAGUGUGGUAGGGGAGACUGGAAUUCCUGGUGUAGCGGUGAAAUGCGCAGAUAUCAGGAGGAACACCGAUGGCGAAGGCAGGUCUCUGGGCCACUACUGACGCUGAGAAGCGAAAGCAUGGGGAGCGAACAGG